rnacentral:Y_RNA from 1 species
GGCUAGUCUGAAUGCAGCACUGUUUGUAACUAAUUGGCCACAACCAGUUACAGAUUUCUUCUUUCUCCACUUCCACUGCUUCACUUGACUCGACUUAA